CUUCGUUAUGUCCUACUCCUACUAUCAUUCAUCCCUUUCCCCAUUCUCAUUCUUCUCCCAUUCCUUUCUCUCUGUUCCUUACCUAAUCUAAGGAUUCGUCCACAAUUCGUUGCUAGAUCCUGCCAAGAAAAGAGGACGGGGGGAAGUGGGAUUUGGGGCAGAGUGCGGUGGCUGCAGCCUGCAAGCUCCCGGCGGCGGCACGUCGUCUAGCUCGACCACACGUGCCUGCUGCUCGCUGCCGUCGUCGAUUUGAUGGACAUGGAUUUGGGUCCACUUGAACCUGAGCGGUGGCACUCCUCCAGUGUAGAAAUUUUCUGUUGGAGAGAAGGAUUUUGCGCCCCAAAGCAGCAAGGCUGCGAGGCAAAGCGGUUUCGUUUCCCUGAGUGGCGUUGCUCUCCUAUUUGUGGCACUGGCUGAGAGCUGCGUUGUCGGGUUCGACGGCCAUGUUCUUCAUAGUGUUCUAGGAUAUAAUUUAUAGUUAUGUGACUUGCCAUUAAGGAUCCAUUAAGGACAUUUCAAAUCUGAAGCAUCCAUUAAGGAUCCAACGGCUCUAACUUCAUUUUUCUAUUCUUCUAUCCUAUGGCCAGUUUCUAUUGUAGUCUUCCCCACCAUAUAUUAGCAAUUUAUAUUAACAGUAGCUCUAUUUAAGACAAAGGAAGAAUGCUUGAUGUAUUAACUGAAUUUGGCCCAUAUAUGUUAAUUGAUAUGCAAUAGAUUUUAGAUUUUUCA